rnacentral:lncRNA from 1 species
UUGUUAUUAUGAGAGAUGUCCAUGAUCCAGUUAUUCCAGUUUUUGUAAAUGAAGUAACACACUAAUUACAAAAAACUAUUAAAUUUGAAUUAUGUGUGUUUAACAAACAUGUUUGACGUAGUUAGCACAAAAACUAAAACUAAGUCUAAUGAGCCUUAAUCGAUCCAAUAUGGCAUUCCGAGUCUACCUCUCAGUUGAAUGAUUAAAAUCAUGCAUCAAUCUUAGUACUUGAUACUCGACUCAUAUUUUUUACAAACACGAUUCUCAUACAAAAAAUAUCAAGAUAUCCACAAGGUGAAAUCAAAGAAGCCUUACAUAUCAUAUAUGUGCAUUUUUUUUCAUUCUUGAUAACAAUUAUGGUUAUUAUUGUUGACCUAAAAAAACGAAAUUUAUUUUUUUAAAAGCCAACUUUGGAAUUUACUGAGUUUCGGCAAGAUUUUCUCCUCCUUGAAAUUUCUGUUUGAAUUUUAAUAGGAUUUUCCUUCUUUUUGGAGAGUUUGGGGGUUCAAUUCUUGUAUAAAAAGAAAGAAAUGGAGAUUCUGUUAAAGCACAUGAUACCAAUCCCACCUAAUAUCUUGGUUGUAACUGUUAAGGCACAAUCAUGCUAAUAUCCUGGCUGUAUAUGUCAAUC